UACGUAGGGUGCAAGCGUUGUCCGGAUUUAUUGGGCGUAAAGAGCUCGUAGGCGGCUUGUUGCGUCGACUGUGAAAACCCGCGGCUUAACUGCGGGCUUGCAGUUGAUACGGGCAGGCUAGAGUUCGGUAGGGGAGUGUGGAAUUCCCAGUGUAGCGGUGAAAUGCGCAGAUAUUGGGAGGAACACCAGCGGCGAAGGCGGCACUCUGGGCUGGUACUGACGCUGAGGAGCGAAAGCGUGGGUAGCGAACAGG
rnacentral:rRNA from 1 species